rnacentral:snRNA from 10 species
ACUUUUGAACAGUGGCAGUAUUGCAGCCAAUGAGGUUUAUCUGAGGCACAAUUAUUGCUAAGUGAAAAAUAAAAUAAAAUAAAAUAGGAAAAGUGCCUGGCCUAUGUCACUCAGUGGUUGAGUGUUGACCUGAACCAGGAGGCACAUGCCUGGGUUGCUUCAAUUCCCAGUAGGGG